UUCCAGACUCCUACGGGAGGCAGCAGUGGGGAAUAUUGGGCAAUGGAGGAAACUCUUACCCAGCAAUGCCGCGUGAGUGAAGAAGGUCUUCGGAUUGUAAAGCUCUUUGAUUGGGGAUGAAUAAAUGACGGUACCCAAAGGACAAGCCCCGGCUAAAUACGUGCCAGCAGCCGCGGUAAUACGUAUGGGGCAAGCGUUAUCCGGAUUUACUGGGUGUAAAGGGAGCGCAGGCGGCUUGGCAAGUCUGAUGUGAAAGGCUGGGGCUCAACCCCAGGACUGCAUUGGAAACUGUUAGGCUGGAGUGUCGGAGAGGUAAGCGGAAUUCCUAGUGUAGCGGUGAAAUGCGUAGAUAUUAGGAGGAACACCAGUGGCGAAGGCGGCUUACUGGACGACAACUGACGCUGAGGCUCGAAAGCGUGGGGAGCAAACAGGAUUAGAUACCCGUGUAAA
rnacentral:rRNA from 1 species